rnacentral:rRNA from 1 species
UACGUAGGGGGCAAGCGUUGUCCGGAAUCAUUGGGCGUAAAGCGCGCGUAGGCGGCCCGGUAAGUCCGUUGUGAAAGUCAAAGGCUCAACCUUUGAACGCCGAUGGAUACUGCCGGGCUAGAGUCCGGAAGAGGCGAGUGGAAUUCCUGGUGUCGCGGUGGAAUGCGCAGAUAUCAGGAGGAACACCAAUAGCGAAGGCAGCUCGCUGGGACGGUACUGACGCUGAGGCGCGAAAGCGUGGGGAGCGAACAGG